AAGGUGAUAUAAUCUAUUUUCUAUGAAGUUUUUUGUGAACUAUAGUUGGCUUCAUUUUAUUUUCCUUUUUCACUUUUACUUUCUUUCUGUGUUCUCUUGCCAUCAAUGGUUUGGUGAUUUAAAUAGUUUGCUGCAUCAGGAACUUGUGCAAAGUGCACUCUUAGAGAGCAACACUGGAAGGGAUGAUCGCAUUCUUUACAAUAAGCUGGUGAGAAUGUCCAACAUUUGAGGGUGACUAGAAGGAUCUUUUAUAUCAAGAUUUAGAGAACUCUUCCCCUUUAGGAUCAUGAAAGGACAUGAAUUUAUAUAUUUUGUACUUUUCAGCUAUGGUUUAACACAUAUUUUUGGUUUUUGCCAUUGAAUUAUAUCUUUAUUUCCUUCUCAGCAGAAUGUACUACGUGGGCAAGUUUUUAAUAAGCAAAACUUUAUGGUCGUUUCUCCAGCACUUUUCAGCAUUUUUCUGUCUUUAAUAACUUGAGAUUCAGAAGCCCUGUAUGGUUGCAAUUCUUAAAACUGCCAUAGCCAGGAGCUUGCAUCAUCCUUCAUUACUGAACGCCUGAGGCUGAAGGUUACAGAUUUCCAGCCAAAACUGCUGGCUUACUGAAAAGGUCCUUUAAUUCAUCCCGGAAUCCUUCAUCUUCAUGUCUGUGUAAUUAACAAGUUCUUUUCUAAUGGCUUUCCCGUCCAAGGAAUUUAGAGAUAACUAAUCAAAAGCUUUUUGUUGGUUGUAAUUCUUUCUUUUUUCUUUGUUCCUUUCGUCAUUUAUUCUCUUGGUGAAAAGUUUUGGAGCAAGCAUGUUUGAUGCAACAGGUGCCAAUGUGGAAAUCCUUGCUUGCCAUUGAGCCAUUGGAUUAGAAAGUAUACCCAAAAAAAAACAAGGGAAAAUUUUGCAGAGCUAGUAGCUGGUGCAAUGUUAAUGUCAAGAAAGCUAUAACCAAACACCAAAAUCUGGGUCAAUGCUAUUAGCUGAUGGCUUCUCUCAUGAUCGCCAAGCACAGGAGGAAUCCUCCUGUAAACACUUAAAUUGCUCUCCGAUUCCACUGCUCCGCCUCCACUUCUCUUCAGUUCAGCCACAAAGGCCGCUGCCUUGGGAACCCUCGCAGCACUUACCACAGCCUCAUAUCCUUGCGCUUGCUUCAUGGCGAGUGCACAUCCAGGCAAGGGAAUGUGAUCUCUUCCCCCACAUACAAGCGCCUCACAUUUUAGAUCACAUGAAUGGUUGAUGAAUGCAAAUAGUAUCCAUAAUCCCACACCAUAGUAUUCACCAUUCUUCCCCAAAACUUUUGCUGAGCUCGCAUCCUCAGCUAGGGAAUUAAUUCACAUCCAACAUGUUAAAAAUUUUGCCCGUAUCAAGUCCACUCUCCUGUAUCUCAGGCCUGAGGAGACUCAAAUCAGCAAUCGCAAGCACAUCCUCAUCUUAAAUCAAAUCAAAUGGACUCUCCUGCAUUUUGAAGCUGAUCCAACAACUUAAUCAAUAAAAAUUCUUCCACAUCACUAAUUCUACUUUGUCCCCCGAAUCAUCAUUCUGCUCCUGUAAAAUACACCUUUCAGUAGCAAUUGCCUUGGUGACCAAGACUAUAGUCCCUGCAUCGAUGUUCUUUGUUCCAAACAAACCAUGCCCACUAAUCUAGACUUCCUAAUCCCUACUGCACCAAUGUUGCUCUGCCAGUUCUGGAAACUUUCCGCGAAACCCAUUUACGACCCAAUCACAUGGGUCAAAAGCUCUAGUCCUUGACUGAUACUUAAGUUCCUUGCAUCUCUACAGACUUCAAGUACCCAUUAAGGGUUCAGAUUUCAAGCUAUCCUCAGGAUCAAGAAGAGCUAAUUUGAAGAAGUCUAAUGCCAAAGACUAUCUAUGGAGACUGAGCAAGAUUCUACCUUUGCAGAGCAGAGUCUUGCAUGUCAAGUGCUCUACAUGGUUCAAAGUUGCGGUAUUGGUCACCGACUCGGAGGGUCCCGAGGCGUAUCGGUCUCGGUGUAUCGGUUUGGUAUCAGGCGAUACGUAAAAUAAGUUAAUUAGAAAAUUAAAAAAAAUAUAAAAAUAUUAUGUAAAUCAUCAAAAAUAUAUAUAUAAUUAAAUAAGCUCAAAAAAUUAAUAAAAUAAAAUUGUCUCAUAUUUAACAUUAUUUAAAUAGUUAUAAAAGUAUAUGCUCAAAGUUAUUUAUGAUAAUGCUAAUAAAAGAAAGUUAUUUUAUUUCUAAUAUAAUAACAUUUUUAUUAACAAACAUACAAUACAAUAAUCAAUUCCAUGUUGAAUGACGAGGGGGUUCAAAAUCAUCAUCAUCAGUCCUACGACAAAUUAGGGUGGCAAUUCCCAUAGUGAGGAUAUGGUUGAAAGAGUUGUUCAUAACUUGAAUAUGUUGGGUGAGAUGAUUGGCUUGAUGAUCCAUAAUCAGGAAAAUAUGGUUUCGAAGGCUGUUUGGGAUCAACACCAUAUUGAUAGUAUCCAAAACCUCGAUAAGCAAUGCUACUGCUACUAGAAGAUUGAUCAUAUCCAUAUGAGUCACUAGCUCGUGUUCUAGUAUUUGAAUAUCCCUCUGGAUGCAUCAUUGGAAAUUGAUCAAAAUAAUUUCUACUAAAAGUACUGGAAGAGCUAUCACGGUCUCUAAAGUUGUGAUAUGAUCUAUCAUCUACCCCUCUAAAAUACAGCCUUGAUCCUAUACCCAAAUUUUGUAAGUGCUCAUCAAUACGGUGAUAAUUUGAUCUAUGAUAAUCAUGCCCACUAGAGUAAUCAUCAUCGCUGGGAAAUGUAGUUAGUCUUUCCAAAUGCUUUCAUUGUUCCCAUAUCAUUGGUCGAUAUCCAUGAUCUGUAUCUUGUGUGACAUAGUAAUUUUCAUCUCCUUGUGCCCAUGACAUGCCAGGAUCUACUUGACUAACAUAAUCGCCCCCAGUCCUACCAUCUCCUCUAAUACUUUCACUAGUGCCACCAACUCCUCUAUUGCCCCCACUAAUGCCACCACCCCACCUACUGCCCCCAUUGUCACCAUCAUCACUACUAGAACUUGAAGAAAUUGUUCUAGAAGCCUUAUCUUUACGACGGGAAUCAACAUCUCUUUCUCUAUCUUCUUCAUUAGUGGGAAGACCUUUAUCUAACCAAUCCAAAUUAUCAGAUGAUAAAAUAGGCUCAUCUCCUCGUAUCCACUCAUCUAAUAUAUCAUCAUCAAUAAAGAUAUGAUUCAUAUCAAUUGGAUUGUAUAAAUCUUCAUUGCUUCGCUCUUGCAUCAAAUUCUUAACUCGAGUCACAUAUUGUAGUGCACAUAAACUAACUUAUGCAACUUUUUCAUUGCCAAACGGUUGCGCAACUUUGUGUGAAUCAAUGACCAUGUGCUCCAAUUUCUUUCACAACCUGAUGAAGAACAAGUUUGACUUAAAAUUUUAACAGCAAUCUUUUGUAGAUGUGGACCUUCCUCGCCAUAGUUUUUCCACCAUUCAGCUAUAAUAAAGAAAAUGCAUACUUAUUAAUCACUAUGAUGUAUGAUUCGUUCCCAAUUGGUGUCUCAGCUGAUUCAUGUCCAGCUGGUGCUUUUUGAUUAAGAGAGUAAUUAACAAAAUUUAUAACCUAUAUCACCAUGCAUUAGGAUAGCUUUAGCUAAUAUAGCAUAGUAGCUCUAGGAUCGUUCACUGGGAAAGGUUUUCAACUCACAACUAAUACCAAUUCAAAGUUAAAUUGGUGCUUUUUCAUUUCAAGUUUAGCUUAAGAAAUAAAACACAAACUUUGGUUAAACGAGGUUUUGUUUCAAGCUAACUAAAAAGAAAGUAAUGGAAAUUACUUAUGAAGAAAAACAUUCCUUGGAGGUUUGGGUUCACAGGGGAGGUUCCUUAUGCAAAAACAGAGCUCCGGUCAUUUGGUUCAUUUCCUCGCAUUAGAGAAUUAACAUAUAGUCAAUUCUCUAACCGGUGUUGUACAAAUGUAUCCUUUAAAUGGAUUUAAGCUCUAAUUCCCUCUCAUUGAUGCAACUUGCAAUGGCUCGUGCCUCUCACCUAGCAUUUGCCAUUCAAGGUGAUCUUUAACUUUGGAUUUCCCUUCUCAAGCUCGUAAGAGAUAACUAAUGGAUGUCUCCUUGGAGUCCAAAAGCUUACCAAGUAUUGGCAAUUCUAGAAAAUCCUACCUUUAAGUCACUUCCCAAAAGCUCGCAAGAGGUAAACUAGUGCAUCUCCAUGGACGGAGAUCACUUGCCUUACCAAGUGUUCACUCAAGUGAAUUGAAGGUGUUUUAAGUUAACUAAAAACAUAGAAAUCAUUAAAGGAACACACUUUCUCUUCAUUAAUGGCUGGAACCACAAAGCUAUAAAUUCUUGCACUUGGAACCUUUCUCGGCAACCUUAGCUCCAAGGAACUAAAAGUCUAGCCACUCAUUCUCUGAGGAAACUUCCUUAGAACUUGUUUGGCUAGAAAGAAAACUAACGAGAAAACAAAAAUAUCAAGGAAAAACAGAGCAAGUGCUCUGUAAAAUAUAUUUCUUUCUUCCACUGAUUACAUAAUAAUUGUUUUGUAAAAGAAAAUUACAAACUAUAUAUAUGAAGUUAUUCACCCUUUGUUCUUACUUAAAGACUAAAGAAUCCUAUGAUAGGUGGGUUACAAGGAGAGUUUGGGGAUUUAGACAACAAAUAUCUAAAGCAAAAUAUCUCAAGAUGUCGGUCGGAAAUAUCAAGAAGCUUCAGGAGAACACUGCGGCAUUGUAUACUGAGAGAAAAACAUUCCGGGUAAGCGCUAUCAAAAGAUCCGGAUACGUCUGUCCGGGGAAGUUGAAACGUCCUCCUCUCCCAUCCGGCUGUGAGACAUCCGGAUGUGAAAUAUCUGAUCAGAGGAUCCGGACAUGUCUGACCGGACAGAAUUCCGGGAGUGAGAUAUCCGCGCGUCGCAAGGGGUAUCGUUUGCGUGUACAAGGUGUAGGGACCCCUCCCCCUGAUGACACGGAGCGCGCAUUGCUAUCCGGCGCAACUCCAUCCGGAUUCCCCAAGAGGACACGCGCCGCCAUGCUAUCCGGACUCCCUGAGGGAGAAGCACACGACACUCGUGAACAUCACACUCCGGACGAUAGCAUAUCCUAUUCGAAUAUGUUGUCCGGAUGGAAAACAUUGACUAAAGUGAGCAAGCCUUGCUACGUCAUUCCGACAACCUGCCAUAGCUCACGUUCUGCUGCCCUCCAAUGGUGUGUCCGGAUGCCUUGUCCGGACAUCUUUUGCCAUGGAUUCCAAAGAAACUCCCCUCAAUCUCGGAUUGCUUUGGUGAUAAAAAAGCUAUCAAAACACCAAAAUUUAACACAAUUUGAUUAGAAUUGAUUGCAAGGGUCCUUAAUAUGUUAAUUGGGUUAAAAGGUGAUAACUACUACUCAAAAGUGUUUAAAAGAGUUAAUUACAAGCUAUCAAAUAGCACUUUUUGAGUAGUAAUCAAUGUAUUUAACAAAAAAUGAUGAUAAUUUCUUAUUUGUAAUAGAUGUAAAUGUAUUGAGUACUUGGAAGAGAUUGAUUUAUUGCUUUCUUUGUAAGUGCACUUCCAAAUUCUCCUUGGCCAUCAACAAAUAAUUUCACCUACAUCAUUAACAUUUUUUUUGUUAAUGCACAUUACAUAUAAUUGAUUGCAAGGGUCCUUAAUAUGUUAAUUGGGUUAAAAGGUGAUAACUACUACUCAAAAGUGUUUAAAAGAGUUAAUUACAAGCUAUCAAAUAGCACUUUUUGAGUAGUAAUCAAUGUAUUUAACAAAAAAUGAUGAUAAUUUCUUAUUUGUAAUAGACGUAAAUGUAUUGAGUACUUGGAAGAGAUUGAUUUAUUGCUUUCUUUGUAAGUGCACUUCCAAAUUCUCCUUGGCCAUCAACAAAUAAUUUCACCUACAUCAUUAACAUUUUUUUUGUUAAUGCACAUUACAUAUACAAAAUGCAUUAUAUAAAGGUCACAAACUAUUAUUAUACCUCAUUAAUAGUUUUUGCUUGUCUAUCCAAAUCUGACUCUAAUCUCUUGAUAACCUUCUUUAAUCCAACUUUAAUUUCCGGAUGGUUGGAGAAAUGCUUUGAAUAUUGGAACAUUGGAUUUAAAAAAUAUACUACCAUAAGUUAAAUAAUGAUCAAUUUAUAAUAAUUUAUACUUGAAAAAUAAUAAUAACAAUAUAUAAAUAAUUUUUUUAUUACCUGCAACAUGCAAAUGUCUAUGUAAUUGACAUUCCCACCUUCUAUCAAUGACUUCCCAAUACUUUUCCCAUUACUUGACUGAUGCCUUGAUAGCCAAUUUAGCUCUAUCCAUUGCUUCAUAAAUGAUUGAUAGUGUGGGCUUUUUAUCUUGAUCAACCAAUUUCAAUACUUUGAUGAGAGGUUCCAUGAUGGUUUGAACUUCCCCUACCUUAUUCCAAAAUCGAUCAGUUAAGAUAAGGUUGGAUACCUUAUCUCUUAGAAUUUUUAUGCUCCUAUCUUUAUUGAAUUCACGCCACUCAUUUGUUGUGCACAUUCUCUUCAAAUCAGCCUCAUAACGUAUAAGACUCUCACGUGAAAUGAAUUCAGUGGCAAAACGGGUUAUCUUAGCUUGAUCUAAUGUCUCCUUAAUUUGCUUCAUGCUUGCAAUAUCUUCAAGUAUUAAAUCAAUACAGUGGGCUGCACAAGGAGACCAAAACAAAUGCUUCUGCUUCUCCAUCAACAACAUAUCGACUGCUUUAAAACUUGCCUCAUUAUCAGUGACUACUUGAACAACAUUUUUCUCCCCAACCUCCUCUACAACUUUAUCCAUAAGAGAAAAGAUGUAGUAUGUUGUCUUAGGUAUGUUGGUAGUGUCAACUGAAGAAUGGUAUAUCAUACUUCUAUCAUAAUAAAUCACGAAUUUAAUGAUAGGCUUUCUAGUCCUAGAACUCCAACCAUCACACAUGAUUGUGCACCCAUAUAUAAGCCAUUUAGCCUUCAAUGUUGUUAUGUAUACCUCAAGCUCUUGCACCUCCUCUUCCAAAAAUGUAUUUCCAAUUUGGUAUCCCGUGGGACCUUUAAUGCCUGAACUUGCUUCCGCUAUGGUAUCAAUCAUUGAUUGAUAGUAAGGCCCAUUGUCAGCUGCAUUAAAGGGUAUUGCAUUAAAGAGAAAGAAUUUAGAAAUAGCUUUACCCACUUUCUUCACGUCUUCAGUAGAAAACAAGCUUUUUAUUGAUUUCUGCUUUGAUGGGAACAUGUAGGGAUCAAUUCCUUUUGGAGGUAUGCUAGCUCCUUCUCUUACACUGAAGCUAUGUGUCAGUCUGUGCUUAAUCCUAGUAUUAGAAGGUUGUGAGGAGCUACCACCCUUCUGAUGCUCUUGUCCACCUUCUUAAAAAAUUUGACGACUUUCUUUCAUUGCUUGUUUCAUUUGUCUUCUUUCAUAAUUAGUCAUAGCAACUUCCUCAAUUUCAUCAUCAGAAUCACCCUCAUCAAUUUCAUAGAAUUUUUCUCUAUUUAAGGAACUCAAAAGUCGUUUUUUUUUUCUUUAACUAUGCUUUUUCUUUUGAAGUAUCAGACAUAUGUUGUCUAACACUAUGUGACACUUCUACCGGUACACGUGGACAUCUUUCCACUUGUUCGGAUAUAUGUGCGAUGUGUUGCUUUAAUCUUGUUAUACUGCCAUGUAUAAAUUUCCCACAAUAUUUACACUUUGUGGUUCUUCUACUACCACCAAUAGGUUCUGCAUACUCCCAACCAAUAUCAUGUUUUGAAGUCAUUUUGAAAUUUUAACCUAACCAUGUAUAAAAAGAAAACAACUUACUUUUCAAAAUAAGUACAUAUAAACACAUAUAUAUAAGAAUUAUAAUAUUCAAUUUUCCACUCACCUAUUGUUUUAUAUUGUUACCAUAUAAAAAUAAAUUCUACUAAAAAAGCAAUAAACACGAUCUCACCUAAGUUAAUCAUCUUUUGUUUCCACUUAUUUAUAUGUUUUUUUUAAUUAAAAUAAAUAAUAGUUAAAUAAAUGAAUAUUUUUAUAAAAAAAAUAUUUUAAAAAAGUUUUUUUUUGAUAAUUAUUGAUUUCCUAUUGUAAUUUAAUUGUAGAAUAUUAUAAAAUAAAAAAUCUACAUGAUAUAAUGAAGUAAGAUUGAUUCAAAUAUAAAUGUAAUUUACCAUAUAAAUGCAUAGCCUUCAUUCCGUAUUAUUAAAUCAUUUAUGAUUAUUUGAUUUAAUAAUUAUUAAUUUUCUAAUGUAAUUUAAUUUUGCAAAAUAGUAUUAAUGUAAUUGAGUAAUAGGGAAAUUUUUUGUCACUAAUAUAAUGUAAAUUUAUUUAUACUAAUAGAAAAUUGAGUGAUAUUUUUAAAGUAUUCAAUACAAUUUCUUGUACUUUAUAUUUUGUAGCAUUAUACAAAAUUUUAUAUAAAAUAUAAAACAUUUAUUCAACCAGACAAUGUAACAUUUCAGAGCUCAUGAUAUCACUCAAUAAUAAUAUUAUAAAAGAUUUUGAUGAUAAUUUUACUCAAUACUAUUUGACUAAUUAUAUGUCAAAUGUCAAUUUUUCUCCUUAUUGAUUUUUUAAAAAAAAUUAUUAGCAUAAAAAAUAAAGUGGACAACUAGGAAAAGAAAAUUAAUUUAUUUUAAUAUCUUGUAAGAUAAGACGCUUUGAAAUUAUGUUGUAACAUUGGUGAUUAUCGUUAGUGAGUAACUACUUGGCAAUUCUAAUUCAAACGAAAGUUCGAGUAUUAAAACUAUCUUGAGAUUUACUCAAUUUAUUAAAACCUAAUUAGUUAAAAAUGAUGAAAAUAAUUCUUAUAUUUGAAGAGUAACUCAUUUUUUUAUAUAUAUAAAUACCCUUGAUUAUUUUAAGUAUUUACAUGAAUGCUUUAAAAGAAAUAAUUAUUUUUAUAAGAACAAAAAUGAGAGGUUUUUUUUUUUAAAUGAUGCCAAAAAAAUAAUGAAGGGUUAGAUUUCCAAAAUUGGGUUUUCAAUAACCUUUUUAAUUAAAUAAGUCAUUUACUAAUGCUAUAUUUGGUUUAUGAAUAUUAGAGGGGGAAAAAAAACUAAACAAAUUUAAGGUUAAUAAAUUAUUUUUGUAUGGCUCUUUUAAUUCAUUUUAUUUAUUUAUUUUUCUAUAUAAAGAUUAUAUAAUUUAAAAAUAUAUAAAUGUUUAGCUAAUUUUUAAUUGCAGCUGAUUUUCUUUUAUAUAUUUUAUGAUAAAAAUAGUGAAAAAAAUAAAUAAAUUUUCUUAAUAAUUUUUUGGGAAUCAAAUAUAACCUAAAUGAAGGUUUAGCAUCUAUUACAAAUGAGUACUUAUAAUUUUUUUUACUUAUAUAUGGAAAAUUAUAUUAUACCAUAGUUGAAGAAUAUAAAACAAAAAUCAAAGACCAUUCAACCAAAGACUAAUAGAUCACAUCUCAAGGAUGGUCAAUCACCCAACUGGGCUACAAGAGUGUUAUAUUAACUAUACAAGGCAAAUGUACUAACUACAUAAAGCGUGUACAAUGCUAUCAUUUGUGAAGGACUUCAAUCGAUUUUGAACAACCCAUUUUUUUUAAUCCAAAUAUUGCACUCUCAUGUCAUAGAUUCCUCCAUCAAACACUCAUCUCAUACACUUCAUUUAAGUCGCACAUAAAAAUUUGAAUACUUACUCUACUAAUGAUGUUUGAGGGAAAUUUUUAUUUUUACAUCUUCCACCAUUUUUACUUAAUAAGCAGAUAUAUAAUGAUAAAACAAAACUUAGGCACAAGUGUUAUAGGUUUUUCUUUCUAUAUAAAUUUCUACCUAUGAUAGGAUUCACUGCUAAGCCAUACUUACAUCAUUAUUUGUUGGCUUUGGAAGUGCUACUUAAUCCAUUGAGUCCUCAACCAUUCAUUUUUAAAAAUUGAUACAAUUAAUCAUAUUUCAAUUGAAUGUAAAUGAACUAAACCUCAUCCCCAUCUAAAAAUAAUUAGGUGAGCAAUGUAUUAUGUACCUCUCCUUGUCUAAAACAUCCAAAGUCCUUAAGAUUAGCUACUACUCGGUGGUUAAUCAGGUCACCAUUCUAAGCGGUGGCAUAGGGCACCAUGAGUAGGACUUCAAAAAAAGGGAUUCUUAAUUUCAUUAGAUAGAGCAAUUGCAUAAAGUAAUGGAAUAUUACAACAUAUGAAUUAGCUCUUAAUGAUAGAAAAGAAAAAACAAGGAAAUAAAUUGAAAAUGAGUAGAAUACCUAUAAGAAGAGUAGGCAUCCAUGAAACCAUGAUGUUUUGGAUUGCUGAAACUAUCUUAUUUCCUCAACUAGUUCAUCCACCAUGAAUUACCCCUAAUUGACAUUGUUGUGGAAUGCGUCUUCAUGUAUUAUGCGUCAUAGGUGUCUUGACAUCCAUCAAUCCUAGAUGUCAGCGCUAGUAUUGUGGCACAAGCAUAAAAUAUGAAGGGCCUUCGAAACUUCUCUCCUAUAGGUCAAGAAACGAGUUAUUCCUUGUACCUUCAAAUGAUGCCAAAUGGAUGCUUGGAUAUGGUGAAGCCUAUGUGGAGUCUUUAACCACAUGUUGGCAGACCAAAUAUGUUCUCAACAGCAGCUGCUGCCACCUUGAUUGGUUUGUCAUGACUUAUAUCUAGCCUCCUAAAUUCAAUGUUAAAAUGUUGGAUCAACCAUAUGAAAAGGUUGUGGUGCGACUCAUGGCAUUGAAUGGAGAGGAGACCUCCAAACUAGAGGUCCCUUUUGGAUUAUAGUUUAUCAUCCAAUAAUUUGAUACAUAGUUUAAGAAAUUUGGUAGCUGAGCACUUAUUGGAGAAAGAUUGAACCUAGAUUCAACAGAUGAAAAAGUGGCCACAUUGGUGACUGCAAAUUUUAUUUAUUACUGCAUGAUUAGUUUUCUAUAGGGUAAAACUCCUUUAGGUCACUACAAGGUAUCACAUAAGUUAUAAUAGUGACUUCAAACUAUAGUUGAUGGAGUAUGAGAGGAUAGGUUUCUAAAAAAUUGCAAUUUGAUUAAAGACGAAUCCUUAAAAAACUUUAAAACCAAAUUCCACAUUUAAGGGGAUGUUAUCAAGCCAUACUGAGACCUCAACGCUUUGUUCAUCAAAUUAUGGUUGGGAUUUUUCAUCUCUAUAGUAAAAACUGAGUUCAAAUACAAACAUAUGAUCCAUUAAAUUAGGAUCAAGGCAUGUCUCAUUUGUGUUUCUAAGCAUAGUAAAUAAAGCACUUCUAGAAAACUAAACAAAGAUAAUCAUGUAUAAAGAAAUAUGUGAACAUGAAAAUCUAAUAAAUAGUGAAGCUCAAAAUCUCUAGGUAAAGACCUCAAGUAGAUCUUUCUAGAGAUAAGAGAUGUCACUGAUAAUAUGAAAUUUGUGCAAUUUAGAGAACACAAAGUAGAGGAAUAAUAGGAGAUUUGUGAUAAUGUUGAUUAACUAACUAAUUUUUUUGUUUUCAUGAGUAUAUGAUAUUUCAUUGUCUAGUGUGAAGAGAUCGUUGCUCGUUGAUAUGAAAUUGAGUCACCAAAUGAGUCAAGGUGAGUUUUUCAUUUUGAAUAAAACUAAGGUGAUUGGGCCUAAUUCAAAAAUAGGAUUAAAACUCUUUACCUUAAAGGGUAUUUCUAAAUUUUGCUUGAACACACACAAUACAUGCACACUUGAGCACAUUUAGAUACUUGGAAUAACUUAUUAAUGAGUUUAUGAGCAUGAAUCAUGAAGAUAUGACUCUUGAAAAAAAAUUGCAAAAAGAAAAUUAAAAAAUAAGGUUAUCUCCUCUAAAUGCAUGUAAUAUUGUGUGUGUUUAAGUAGAAUUCAAAAAUAAUCUUUAGGUAGAUCAUCUCAAGGGUGCAUAACAAAAUAAGAGUAAUGAACUACUAUAUAGGUCGUGCACUAGUACUACACCUCAAAUUUCGUCGCAUGUUGAGGUCAAACCUAUAAUGUAAUAAAGAUGAUUAAAGAACCUACAAAAUUAGAUAAACUAGUAAAAGAAUCCUUGUGCAUUAUAUCCUAUCUUAGUUUGAAUAAAGUACUUAGUUAUUAUGCUAAUUCUUGAUUAAAAUUGCCACCUUACUAACAAAUGAAAUAGAGAGAUUUUCAUGAAAAGUGAUGAAGUAAGAAAAAAAAGAGUCAAGACUAAGUUCAUCAAUCAUGGACCAACCCCUUAAUGCUUACUAAGUAGAAAUUCAAUAUAGCACUAUUAGCUAUGUAUUAUGGUAUCUUUAAGUUAGCAUUCAGGUAAGUCCCUGAGGGGUAGAACCCAUAACAAGAGUUUCAAAUUAACAAAAAAUCGUAGAUCUUGUGAAUAAAUUAAAGACAAUGUAAAAAAGCUUUUGUAACAUGAUGUUUAAGCAUGGGUUUUAGGUUUUAGAUAUUGAAACUUUUCAUAAAAUCAACAAAAGGUGAGAAAACUUUAAAUGCAUUAGAAGAGCAUUUUGUAUGUAAUUAAAAUGGUUUUUUCCAUGAGGUGGUUAAGUACUAGGUCCCUAUCUUGUGCCUAGCCCCAACACCUUAAUUGCAGGUGAUAAAAAACAUUGUAAAUGCACUCUAUUUUGUAACUUGAAUGUGAGAAAAUGUUGAGUAAAGGUAAGCUACAAUUGUAGUCCUAUUUAAGUCAUGGGUCCGUUUUAUCUUGUGUGAUGACUCAAUCAAGCUUGACAAAGGUAUAAGGCAGAUCCAAAGAAAGAUCCUUAAAUGUUUUAUUAGGUUUUGUUUUUUAGGUAAGCAUUUAUUAACCAAAAUUAAUGAAAUAAAUUACAAACAUAGAAUCCUUUAUAGGCUGCAUCACUAGAUUGUUAGGUAACUCCAAAGGAGAAAUAUUUCUAUUCACAAAAGUAUGCACUUUUUACAAACAUCACCACUACUUCUCUGGUAAGUCCAUAGAACAAACCUUUCUAGUGGUAAGACUAGUCAUGAUAUCAACUAUUAUUUUACUUACCAAUCCAUAAAACAUGAAUAUAAUUCCAACAAAUAAAACAGAUAACUAAUUGUCUUAAUUGUCCAACAACCUUCUUCACUUUAUAUGGAGCAUUAAGUGGGCAAUAUAGAACAUUGUCUACCAUUAUUAGAAUUAGUGACCACAAUAGCAUUUCUCAUACUCUCUCAAUCCUUGCUCUAAUGAAAAUAUCAUCAACCUAUGUGAUGGAAAGGUUCCAAUCUAUAGAAUACUAAGCUUCAUCCUAGUUAAUUCAAAAAUGACAAAUGAAUAUAAAAGAAAAGCCUUCUAUUUGCUAGAAUUUUUUUUAAUUCAUAUGAAAAUAUAUUUAAUCAUGAUAAACUUAUAUAUUAAUUUGAAUAAUAGUGAAUUCAAAAUAAUAUUGAUUUUUUAAAAAAUAAGGUUAUAAUACCUAAAUAUAAUAUAGGAAGCCAAUAAGUAAAAAUAUAGCACUAUAAAGUCCUUGCUCCCAUCAAUGACAAUGCUUAAAGCAAGUCCAAAUCCACAAAAUGAAAAUGUAGCAUGUCGUACAUAUAACCACGAUAAUACAUAAUAACUAAAAAAAAAAAAAAAAAUCUAUGUGAUAGAAUAACUGGGAAACAAACAACCCAUAAAAAUAUUAUAAUAAUAAAAUGAGUUUAUUGUGGCAAAUGAGUAGUACAUUUGGAGUGACUGUGUCCAAUGCCAUGGCAUUAAGAGUAAUGAAUAGUUCUCUUAUAGCUAAAUUGUGACUCAAUGCACCAUUGUUGGGGUAUUCUAGGAGGGCGUCUCACUUGCAAGGAUUAAAGAGUAGGAAAUGAAUUGUCUCCUCCAUCUUGCACACUCAUAUAUGCAUUUACUUUGGGCAUGUUUUGUGUUGGAAAUGGUAGGAACUAACUUAAGUAAAUCAAAUAUUGAGUAAAGACCUUGUAACAUGUAUUGACAUACCCAUCCAUAUCUUGUCCAUCAUGUGAAUAACAACACAUGCAUGGGCACAUGAUAAAUCAGACAUUUGUCAUGCCAUACAAGUACAAAAUGUUGGUUUAUGUCCACAACCACAUAAACCUCCCCAAUAAACACCUUAAAUGUCGCCCUCCCAUCCAAAAUAUGACAUGAUAGCAUUCAGACCAAACCUCAUAAUAGUUGACAUUAGCUUUUCUUUUGUUUUCGAUCCAACCAUGCUCUUCCAUUUUUUUGUCCCACCAAAAAGGGUGUCUAAUAUGGCCACAAGCUUAUUCAUGUGCCUCAUCAACAAGGUAUAAAUUGUUUAGUGGAGCUCCUUCCUUAACCAUGCAUUAAAGGACUUCAUAAUAUUAGUGAUAAUUUUACCAAUGUUUUUUAGGGAACUUUGGCAUCGCCCAUUAAUGUUCAAGAUCGUUAUUCACAAACCACCUAGCUUAUUUAAGUGGAUAUGUGUGGACCUCGCAUUUCGGCUCGCUCAAUGCGUUUCCCACUCGAUGGCGAGCUCGAUCUUUAUUUUAUUUGAAAAAUUGAUUUUUAUUGAUUAAGAAAAUGACUUGGAGUCGCCACUUAUUUUUGUUUUAUUUUUAAAGGGUAAACAAAAUAAGAAAGAAAAACCCUAAGUGUGACUCCUUAUUUUAGAAAAGGCAAUCUACGAAAAACCGGAUUGGGCUCGGGGGUCAGGUUACUUAUCAGGAAGGUACGGUAAAGACCGUAGCACACCUCUAAGUCCCUAAAGUCGGGUCUCUACUAAUAGACUGAAGCUGACGUGGCGAUCAAUGAGGAAAUCGAUGAAUACUCAAAUCGAUCAUGCACAAUAUGAUAAGCAAAGCAUGUAUAAAGAAUGAGCAAAAUACGGAUAGAUGCGUACCUGGGCAGCAAUCUCGAAUGCGCUAUCAUGAAACAGGGUUAGUGAGCAAUGAACAAGAUAUAAUUAAGCGCAUAUCAUGGAACAAAAUAAAUCAAAUACGCACGAUAAGUAACUCAAUCAAACAAUCAAUCAAUCGUCAAUUCACAUAUGUGGGGCCCCCACCAAAGACCGUUUAUAUUUGCAUGAAUUAAUUCCGUAAAUUCCAUCACUCGGAAUUACGGAAUUUAAAUUCAGGUUUAUUUUAAAACUUUUAAAAUCAUGAAAAAUUCGAAAGUGGCUCGCCGGGAAGAAAAGAAAGAAAAAGAAAAGAAAAGAAAAAGAAAGAAAAAAGAAAAAAAAAAUGGCGGCAAAUUUUAUUUAAAGAAUGAGGUAUUUAGAACCUAAGAAAAAAUGUCUAAGGAUGAAAAGUUUAAGAAGUUAAAAUUAUUUGAAGAAUUUUAAAAAUUGGAAAACUAUUUGAAAAUCGGGAUUUGAGGGAUUAUUUUAAGAACAACAAAGAUAAAAUAACAAUAAUGACAAAGAAGAUAAUAAUAAUAAUAAUAAUAAAAAUAAAUAAAAAUAAAAAGUAAAAGAUGUUUGACGAAUGGAAAAGGGUAAAAAUGGAUUUAUUUAAGAUAAAGAAAGAAAACUUGAAGGAUUUAAACCUUUGAAAAGGAUUUUAUUUGAAAAUCAAUUGUUUUUGAAAACAAUGCACUGGAAUGUAGGGGUAUGCCACGUGGGUUUCAGGGGUGGCCCACCAAAGGUGACCAUGCAAGAUCCUCGUUAAUGAGGAUUUGAUGAAGCGUUCUCCCUAACCAGAUUUGAUAGCUAUGAAGUCCCAUACCAAACAAGUCCAAGUUCAGAGUGGAGCCAGAGGGACCCACAACAGCCAUGAUCCUACCAGGCUCAGCAUACCCAGUAACUCCAUGCAGCAUCAAACUAUGCUCCUCCAUCAAUUCAAGCAAGCACGGCUGUGAUCGAACUCCACUUACAUCUUGGGCCUCCAAACAAUUUUGCCCUUGCCUUUGUCAGGAAGACAUUGAUGAUGAAGUGACCUGAAAACAGUCUCCAACACCGAAACAGCAUCAGUUUUGAUGGUGAAGUGACUGAUUCAAAGUAGCCUCUUCGGUUGUUGAAGGCUAAUAACAAUGGCUUCUCUUGCAUCAACACCUCGGCCAUGUAGACUUGAUCCUCAACUCACUUGGUAUCCCAAACCUUUGCUAUAGAGAUAACUUGAUAAUCAGGGUCUUUGAACCUUUCUUGCAGUCAUCAGCCUGGCAUCACUAUGCUAGAAAUCCCAUAUUCAUUCUCAGGUUUUACAUGCCAACAACCAUCAGUCCUCACUGGUAUCUCAGCUACAUCUUCUCCGCAAGACACUUCCUAGAACGUUGGUUCAUUUCCACAAAAAUUCCAAGGUCAAAGCAGCCCAUGUGAUGGGAGGAGGUGCUAGGAUAGUCAUUUGGUCUGGAAAAUAGCAUUGUGGGACCCUACUCAUCUUUGGGAUCCCACGGCUGUCACCGUUCUAACAGCCUUCAUGCUUGGGGUAAAUGGUAUUGUAGCGGCUCUACAAACUCCUUUGUCGUGGCAGAUAUCAAUGAAGCUAACCUCGAUGGCCUGAUUCUUCACGCAGAUCUCACCCUCAUUCGAUUCUCUUAUUUCGGCAUCUUCCCAAGUCAGGAUCUCAAGACCAUUAAGUUCAUGAACCUUGAAGGCUCUUUCCAUGAUUGCAGCUGCUGACUUUGGGCAUGAGCCUGGAAAAACGCAUCUAAGGAUUGGGAUGCGGGUAUGGAGGAUUGGCUUAUGAGGGCCUGGUGAAUGAGAGUGCGAGUGAUGGAUGAAGGAAAUGGGUUCACAGGGUGAUGGAAGAAAUGAGUUUGGUGACGGAAUGGAAGAUAGAGAUGAGAGGUGGGGUGACGGGCAGGACGAUAGGUUAGAUGGGGGGAGGUUUUGGUGAUGAAUGGUAGGUAUGAUAUGGUUAUGGGAGUGUGGGCACAGAUAUGGGUGUGAAGGUUAAUGAGAAAUGAGAUAGAAGCCGUCAUGUGCAUGGGAAGUGAGUAACAGGUUUGAUGGGCGUGAGGAGGUUUAAAGAUAUGGGUAUAGAGGAACAUGAAGGAUGGGUAUUGAAGGAUAUGGGUGAUUUUGGGGUAUGGUGAGCAUAUAAGGUGAUAGGUUCGCAUGGGGACCCAGGUUGAUGAGCAAUGAAGGGGAAUGGGUAUGAGGUGAAGUAUGCUGGCAUGCAAAGGUGAGGGAAACAAUGGCUUCAACAGCGUGCUCCCUCAACAGUUUCAUGCUUCUUUCUCGUUCUAAUAACGGUCCUCGGUACAUUCUUGACACUCUGAUUCUUCUUCUCACCAGAGGCAUAGUUUAAACCUCUUGACUCUCACCCUCAAACCGAUUGAAAGCUUUACCAGAGAAAACACAUCCAAAAACAAAGAAUCUUCCCUUGUCAAAAACGUGAAUCGACUUAGAGACAUAGAGCAUAGGAAGACCUUCAGGAUCAGAGUUUCCAAUAGUAGGCGGCGUGGGUAUCACCCAAGGGUCUUUUAUACACAUUAUCCAGAUGAUAUCUUAGAAUCCGUGGCAGACGAGGGAAAGUGGAAAAUCAUCAUCUCUAGGAGGUCAGUGCUUGUUGGGACUCAGCAGGUGAUGCUACCCAGUUUCUUACCGGACCACGUUCAAAAAGCUCCACAAUACCUAUCCAGGUGCAGAAAAUUCUCUAUCUCAAGAAACCCACUUCACGGAACAUUGAUGACCUCCAGACAUGAUCUCAUUGUGGUGAAUUUCAUUACCUCUCCAACCCCAUGCAUGGAACCAGAACCAAAAAACAGAUGCGGUCUCGACAAUAAAAAAUGUAUGAAAACAUAGCAUAGCAGGAAACAAAUACAAAAAAACGUCCUCAAAGAAGGCUUCACAUCAUGGGUCAUCAGUGAACCUCCUUAUUGGGUGAGAAAAUCAGCAUCAAAUAUGAACAUUAGAAUGAUUCUUGGGUAUUUAACAAAAGAGACAUGGCACAUCAAGAUUAAUAAUGUUGGGCAUGAACUCAGAAUUUUAUCUCAACAGGCAAUAAGUGGCCUUCAUUUAUCCACCCAAACAAGCUAAUCAACAUUCAGAUAUCAACAAGAAACAUAGAAGAGUAAUAGGAAUCCAAAUCAAACCAUAAACAAUAUUACAUUCAUACCUGAGAGUAUCCUCUUCCAGUCAGAUAAUACCCGGCCUCAAACACCUUAAAUCCUCCUCUAAAACCCCGAGGAACUAAUGAAACAGCCGAGCUUCCUAUACUCUCCAAAUACACCACUCUCUCUUUCUUGCUCUCAAGUCGUACCCUCCCCUUCUAAGCUUCUUUCUCCUCUCAAGCCCCUCUGAAAUAUGCCCUGUCUCCUCUCUUCAGAGACAUCCCCUGUUUCUUCCUCGCUUCCCCUCCCUAAAGCGACCUCGUCUCCAAUGAAAAAAACCCCCCUUUAAAAAAGCAACCUGCUAUCCAAAAAUAUCCCUAUUUCUUUUCUCCCGGAUUUGCCCUUCUAACCAUAUUUGCAGAGACAACCACCUUCCAACCCCACUACUCUGCAGCCUUCCAAAAAGCAUUCCUCCAACGGCCAGACGACCUCCCCAUGCAGCUGGCUUUUCUCCCUCAAAUAACAGCCAAAAAGAUUUUUGUCUGAUUCCAUGAUGACACAUGUCGACCCCGGAUUGGCCUUCAAAAGCACUACUCUGAUUCCAUGAUGGCCAAUCAGGGAUUGACACGUGGGUGCUUAGGAGUGCGACACCUGGCUAAAAGCAAGCUGCAGAAUGACUCCCAAAAUGGGGGUCUACAAAAUGUUUUGAAAAUACCUCAUUAUGAUCAUUAGCUAAUAUAGCAUAUGCAAUGCUAUUCCAAACAUUUUCCCUCAAUUUCUUUUCUUUAAUGUUUUGCGAAUUGAAGAAGCUAGUAAAGUUCUCCUUCAAAUGACGGUAACAAUAUGCAUGAUUUUCCAUUCCAAACAACUUUGAAACACCACACAAAAUUCUUUGAUGCCUAUUUGAUAUAAUGACAACAUUUUUUUUCCAUUAAGGACCCCUUUUAACUUAUGGAAACCCUAGAUUUCUCAUUUCCCUAACCUUGGAUCAAAUGGGUACAUGCAAAUCUAUCCUAGGUUUCUUUAGAAACUAGUCUUAGAGAAAACAUGGUUUUUAAAAACCAUUUAGUUUAAUAAAACUAGACAAAAAAAACAUUCAUACUUGGAUCUAGAUGUUCGUAAAUUAAUUCAUUGUGGUGAAGAAGAUGUUUGAAUACUCUGGAGGUCUCGUACACCUGAAGUCUUUUACCAAUGACUUGAACCACAGCCUUGACACUCCAAAUAGUAAACUUUGGAAGGAGGACGCCUUAACUCUUUCUUUAUUCCAUGGAUGUGGAAGAUGACAAUAAAAAAGCCUUAGAAACCCUAACCCCUAAGGAGAAUUUAUAGGGUUUCCUUACUAGGCUUAAGUCACUUAAGCCAACCAAGGUGUGAGUUACUUAAUCUAACCCAAUAUAGAUCCUAACGGAUUGCAUAACCACACAUGGACAUCUAAUUAAUCAAUUAGCCCAAUCUAGAGACCUUGUUCACUAUACAACCAUACGUAUUUACCAAAAUGCCCUUAUACACAAGAGUGAACAUAAAGCUAAUCCAACCCUUAUAAUCUAUGCCAUCAGGGUUAAUGAGCUCAAAAAGAGGACCAUUAGGACCUAUAGGAGUACUAGUUCCCUUAUAAUCCAAUUUUAAAGUUGAUUCAACAUCCCACUAUAGAGAAUCAACUACACUCCAGUACUUUAUGUAAAUAACAAUGAGAAAAAAUUCAGGUUCGUGACCUAUUACCCACUACAUGUAGACUCCCCAUGAACUAGUGUUCAUAAUCUAGCAUGGUAGUGUUAUCACCUAUCCAGAUUAUCUUUCCAAUCUUUGAGUUACAAAUCCCACUUAUGCUGUGAUCAAUUGACAUACUCAACUUACAAGAAGCAUAGGUUAAAUUUCACUAAAGAAAAUACUAUGACUAUAGUAUUUUAGAUCACGUCCUUUGGAUCACCUAAGAUGACACUCUUUCUCAAUUUCAUGGGAUAUCAUGGUGCCUUUAUUAAGAAUACUUGUUGUCACCAACUUCCAUCAACACUAACCCAAUCCAUAAGUAUAUGUGACCACCUUAGGGUCUCACCCAAACAUCAAAGUCUCCCGUUGACUUUGGAAUAGACUCAAUAUCCUCUCAAGGUUGAGAGUUUAUACAGUAUAGUAGAUUUAAUGAGUCAUGACAAGUGAUAGCCUUACAUUAUGAUUCAUCGUAGGUCCUGUCCAAAGUGUAACCAUACACACUAGUGCACUCACCAUGGGAAACCCAUCCCAAUGGCUAAGACAAGUCAUCCCUUAAAUUAGGAGGCAAUGCACUACAGUUUCUAUUGGAUUGUCUAAAUCCAUGAACUGACUAUGGACAAAUUAUCUACUUACAAGAAACCCAUGACUUGUAUCCUCUGUGCAACUCCUAAUGCACCUAAGUCAUGUACAAUGUAAGAGAUAUAGGUGUAUGCUCAAAUAGCUUAUAAAUGCAAAUGGGAUAAAAUGAAACCAAGAACCAUAAAUAAAUCUUAAUCUUUUACAUCAUUUUAUGCUUUUAAGGGCUCAAUUCAAAUAUUAACUUCUCCAAGAACCAAUACUAGUCCUAAUAAUUUUUUGAAAUUACAACACCAAGUACUAAAUGAAACAUUCCACCAUCUGUAUAAUAUGCAAUGGUUGAAAAAAGAGCUCCCUUAUAUGGGUUACUGAGGUGGCAAAAAUCAAUAGCUAAUACCAACUGACAUCCCAUGAUGAUUGAAUUGAAAAUGCAUGGGUACUAAACAAGUGCAUAAAAUACCUUUUAUUUGAAGUAUAAUCUACAUUAAUACAUGUGUUAAUUUCCAUUAGCCUUUGGUACAAUGAAGGCAAAAAGGUGUAGGAGUCACGUGAAACACCAUAAAUACGCUCCUUCGCCUUCUCUUUAAAGUGUCAUGCUUGGUUAUAUGUCAAUAUACUCCAUGCUCAUGGGUAAAAUCCUUGCAUAUUUGGCGAGGAAGAUAAUCUAGAGUUGUCCUAAACACUUCUUCAACAACAAUGACAUCCCUCUUUGAACUAACUCCCACUUGAGAUGAAUAAUCAUUUUGAGCAAAGCAAUCAUGACUAACUUAGUAAGUAUGUACACACAAAAUUUUAUUCCCCACUUCAAUUGAGUUGUUAUCUUUUAAAGAUAAUCCUCAACCAAACACUUUACUAACACAUGUUUCGAUGAAUUCUUCAUGUCCGUGUAUUGAAACCUCUCAUAUAAUGACAUCAAGUAUAUUGCAUUAUAGAACUCCUCUACAUUUUUAAAUGUACAGCCUGACCCUAGUAUUGCAUCAUAGUACCAAUUCUAUUCCAAAUGCAUGUACUCAGUUUUAGCACACCAUGAUGUAAAACCUCUUGAUUGCAUCGUAGCAUCGCAUAAUGUGUCACAUAAUACACUUGAGGAAGGAAACAAGGUAGGUGGAGCACUACAUAUUACACAAAUACAAUAAAUAAAUUUAAUUCAUGUAUAACUUUGAUAUUACUAUAUAUUAGUCAUACCAAAAGUCCAAUCCUUAAAGGGGUAUUUAUGAGGUUCCUCUACUAAGCUUAAGUGGCUUGAGCCCAUAUGGGCUUGGGUUACUUAAUCUAGCUCAAAUCUAGUCUUAAUUGAUUAAUUAACCACAUAGGGUCAUCUACUAAUCAAUGUACCCAAUCCAAAGACCUUGUUCACUAUCCCCUAUGCAACCAUGUGUAAUUACCAAAAUGUCUUUAUGCACAAGAGUGAACCUAGAGCCAAUCUAACCUCAUAAAACAUAUCAUCAUGGUGUAUGAAAUCAAAGCGGGGACCAUUGAGACCCAUAGAAAUAAGUUGAUUUAACAUCUUACUACAGAGAAUCAACUGUACUCUAAUACCCAAUACAAAGAACGAGACGAAGUUUGGGUUUGUGACCUACUAUUGAUUUCAACCUUAUUUCUUCCACUUUAAGCUUAUCACACACCGUGCACACUAGGUUCCGUUUAUAAGAUGAAAAACUAUUUUCCCCCUUGACUUAGGAAAAUUUAGACUUGGUACAUUUGACCUCAUUUUAAUAGUGUUGAGACACCUUAUAAAAGGCCAAUGAGCCUUUGGAAAAAGAAAGAAAGAAAAAAAAAUGUUUUACUUGCCUUGAAACCCAAGCAAGGUCUGAGGGGUAUAUGGUGAAAAUCUUUAAAACCUGGUGCCCUAAGCCUUCAAUGGUUGGGAGUCACCGACCUCAAUGCUCGUUACAUGGGUGAAUAGGUGGAGUUUAACAUAUUGUAGGUGCUUGGGUAUUAAAAAUUCAUUCUCAAAAGUCCGGGGUGAAAUCCGAGGAGUUAGUGGUUGAAAAAUCCUUAAAGCUUGAUGCCCUAAACCUUGAUUGGUUGGGAGUCAUUGAUGGACCCCCGUUACAUGGACAAUUUAGAAAAGAAUGCCUUUAAGCUUUGAACUCCUACAAGAAAAAAUUGUGAAAGAAAAGAGGUGCGUUCUUAGCCUAUUGGAGGUUGAUUAGUUUGCUAAGCUUUGAAAAGAACUAGGUUGAGGGGAGAGAUUAGUUUGACAUACUUGUAGACCCCCGAAGGCAGACAGUUUUUUUUAGUUAUUAUUAUUAUUAUUUAUUUAUUUUUAUUUUUCCUACCUUUUUCUUCCCGAGCCGCUCGACAUGAUGGGAGGGCUGGUUUUUGGGGCAGAGAGGGGACUCAAGUGGGCGGUUUUUGGGCGGCAGAUGGGAUGGGGUACGGAGAUGGCUUGGAGGAGAAGCUAAAAAGAAAAGAGAAAAAGGAAAGAGAGAGGGGGAUAUCGGCAGAGGGGUUUUUUUUUCUGGGAUCUGGAGAAAAACUAUGGGGGUGGAGUUAGUCUUUGCGGGGGAAAAUACUUCCAGAGCUUGAGGAAGGUUUUGGGGUGCUUUUGAGGCAGGCUAGAGGGAAAGACACCUGAGAGAGAGAACCUUUGGGGGAGUUUUUCAAGCAGAUGGAUUUUUCGGAGGUAGCUUGGAGAGUUUUCAUGAGAGCUUGAAGUCAGGCGAGCUUUCGCUUGUGAGGAGGUUUUUUUCAGGUAUGGAUCCUGUUGGUUAUCUUCUUUGUUUUGUUUCUGGAUAUCAUUUCUCGUUUUAGGUAUGUCUUUCCAGGUUGUAUUUUUAGCUUUCAAUGAUCUCUGAAUCAACCAUGGGUUGGUUGAUAUUACUGUAUCAUUUUCUCUUCUUGGCUUAGCUGAAAAGCAACUUGAAUCUGUUUCUAGCUUCAUUGCGAGAUAUCUCAGAUUUUAUUCCCCUGUUUUGUAUGAACCCAUAGUCCCCCAAUCCUCCUGUAGGCCCGUGGAUGAAAAAUGAAACAGGGUUUCACUCAUUAAUUUUCUGUUUUUAUACUCUGUUUUUUUAAAGGUUUUUUUUUUUCACGUUUUCCUCUGUUCUGAAUUGAAUGGGACAUGAGAGUGGCGUGACUUGGUUUGGUUUUGUCGAUGGACCUCUUGAGAUGGAAAACUUCCAGCACACUAUAGACUUGAAGUCUUGUGAUGAGGUCUGAGGACCGCGAAUGCAGAAUCACCAGUAGAAAGAAACGAUUUACUGUGUCUGUUAGAUAUAUGAGGAAGAAGAUGGCCAGAGAAAACCAGAGAGAGAGGAGGGGAAGGAGAGAUUCCAAAUUUGUUCUCUAAGCGAGAAGAGCUCUCCUAGUUUGUGGAGGUUGAUGAGGAGCAGUCUAGGAUGUUUCUUCGUAACUGGAGGACCAUGACGGGCAGCCAUUCAGAUCAUGAAACUCACUUAUCCACGUCUAUGAGGCCCAUCAGAUCUCCUUCUAUCACUACACUGCCACUCAUCCAACUAAUCAAUAUCCAUGUUUUCCCCAUGCAUUCCUCUCUCUACACCACGUACACCACUCACCUUCACCCAAUCCAUGCACCAUGGUUCCCAAGCACGCCCCCCUGCUCAUCACCUUUUUUUUAGUUUCAUACCCGUCUCUCCAUUCCACACCUACAUCCAUUUCUCUCUCUCUAGAUUUAUUCAUACCCAUUUUCUACACAUCACCACCUCUCAUCCCUCUACCUCCGCAUGGCCACCCCAACCACUAUAUCCACUUCUCCUCAUGCCGUUCACCCCCCCACCCGUUCAUUGUCAUCAUUUCCGCAUACAUGAAGGCCCCAUGCAAACCGGACCCAUCUCCACACCCAUUUUUCAUCCCUCACAUUUCCUCUCACUACACCACGCACACACCCAAGACCACUUGGACUGAUCACCAUUUAUGCCCACAUCUCUAUCCAGCUUCCUCGUUGUUCACCUAUCCUUUGAACCCAUCACUGCGUGGCCAUGCAUGGCUGCAUCUUGCUCAUUCCAUGCUCAUGCCCAUUUCGUUCAUGAUGUUUUAAGCGCGUCACGAGUCUCUUGCUGCCUUUUAGGAGGUGGAAUGAGGUUCCGCAUGGUGACUUGUGCGUUGCCGAGUGUACAUGGGCUGCGGGCUGUUGCUUCAAUGGAGAAAUGGGGCUUCAUUAGUGGCCAUCCACUAAGUUUAAAUAAAUGAAAAGUCAAUGGUGGCAUGGUGGCAUGGUGGCAUGGUAUUUCUCAUAAGUGGCUGGGCAUAUGUUUUCUUUUUGAAUGAAUUAGUGGUAGUGGCAUGGCCCAGUUGUGGCUCCAUGGUGGAUUUUAUUAUUUAUUCUUUUAUUUAUUUAUUAUUAUUUUUUUUUUCAUGUGUCAAAGUUUGGUAUCAAAUGUCUGAUUUUCGUAAAUUCUUUUUAAAUGAUUCUCAAAAUUCCGAUUUCACGAACAAUCCCAUUUCUAUUCCAAUUUUCAAAUAAUUGUUAAAAAUUUCAUUCUCAAAUAAUUUUCUGAAAUCUCAAUUUUCACAUUAAUAUAUUUAAUUAUUAUUACUUUAUUUAUUUAUUCUAAAAUUCCAUUUUAAACAAUUCAUUUAAAACUUCCGAUUUCCGAAUAAAAUUUCUAUUUCUGAAAAUUCCGAUAGUUACAUUAAUCUAUUUAAUUAUUAUUUUAUUUAUUUAUUCUAAAAUUUCACUUUAAACAAUUCAUUAAAAUUUCUGACUUCUGAUUUUAAUUUCUAAUUCCACAAAUCCCAACAUUCACAUUAAUCUAUUUAAUUAUUAUUAUUUUUACUUAUUUAUUCUAAAAUUUCAUCUUAAACAAUUCAUUAAAAUUUCCGACUUCCGAUUUAAUUUCUAAAUUCCAAAAUUUCAAUAUUCACAUUAAUCCAUUUAAUUAUUAUUACCUUACUUAUUUAUUCUGAAAUUCCAUUUUAAACAAUUCUUGAAAAUUCCAAUUUCCGAACUUAAUUUCCAAUUUCCAAAAUUCUAAUUUUUUUCUAAUUUAAUUCCCAAAAUUCCAACUCAUAAAUUUAAUUCCCAAGGCCCCCAAUUUUCAAACAAAUUCACUCAAAUAGUUUUAAUUCCAUUUCGGUUCCUAAAUAAUCCUCUAUUCUUCUUGAUUUUACAUAAGUAAUAGUGAAUUUUUCAUAAUUCUAAAACAUAGAAUUUGUGAGACUAGUUCAUGAGUAAUAAAUUGGGCUUUGGUGGGGGCCUUAUGUUUGAUCUCUUUCGAUUGUCAACUGUUGUGCUUAAUGUAUUUUGCUUGAUCUUCGUUUUGCAUUCCAAUAUGCAUGAACUGUAUUUUGCAUUCAUUAAUUGUGUACUAAUCCCGUUUCUUGAUAGCGCAUUCUGGCUCGUGGCCCAGGUACGCAUGCACUUUCAUCUUGAUCAUUCUCUACGCAUGUUCCGAUUCUCAUAUGCAUGAUUUGACUUAGGUAUCCAUUGACUUUCUCAUUAAUUGCCAUGUCAGCUUCAUUUUAUUAGUAGAGACCCGACUUCAGGGGCUUAGAGGGGUGCUACGGUUUUUGCCGUACCUUCCCGAUAAGUAACUUAACCCCCGAACCCGAUCCGGUUUUUCGUAGAUCACCUUUUCCAAAAUAAGGAGUCACACUUAGGGUUUUUCUUUCUUAUUUUGUUUACCCUUUUAAAAAUAAAACAAAAAUAAGUGGCGACUCCAAGUCAUUUUUCUUAAUCAAAUAAAAAUCAUUUUUUCAAAUAAAAAUCGAGCUCGCUAUCGAGUGGGAAACGCAUGAGCCGAAAUGCGGGGUCCACAAUACUAUAUCCGGAAACUAAUAAAUAACACAUAGAUUUUUGUGGAAGAGUAAGGAUUGGACCUUUGGGAGUGGAAAUUAUUUUGAAGCUUAAAUUUGCAUAAUGCCUACUCUUUAUGAAUUGUGACUAGACAAAUUAUUUGAUAGCUCCUAUUGAAGUUUGAGUUUUAUUUCUUUCAUGUUCCAUGUGAGAGUUUGAUCAGUCAUGCCACUUAAACAUUUUUUGGAGUGAUCAGCAUGAUUUUGUAAAUUUAUUACUUUUAUUUUUAUUUUUUCUCUCCUUCAUUGCUAAGGGACUAGCAAUAUGUCGGUUGGGGGGAGUGAAUCAAUAGGAGUUCAAUAAUUCAUCAACUUUAAUAAACAUAAUACAAACUCUAAGUUUCAAGUAAAAAGACAAAAAUUUAAUUUCUCCCAUUUCAUUUUGAAUUUUUUUUCCUUAAUAACCAUGGAGAGUAGUUAAAAAACUUUUAAAAAAUUUUAAAAAUUAAGCAAAAAGCAACUAAAUUACCAAAAUAACUUAGCAUUAAUAACAAAACUUCCUUCCUCAACUCUCCGCCCAACCAAGCUGAACAUUGUCCUCAAUGUUUCAAGAGCGAUUAAAAAAAUAAAGGGGGGAAGUGGUACCUCCUGAGUGGCAUGGAGUCUGGGUCGUAUAGGAGAAACCACAUGUUAAAAAAAAAACAAAAGAUUCAGUGAGUAGAGGAAAUAGAAAAAUGCCAAGUUUAAACAAAAAUGAUGUCUAUAUAUUAAUCUGAGAAAAUAGAAUAUAAUAUAUGAUCAUGCAAUACAUCCAAUCCCAGAAUAUAAAACAUCAAAACAUGGAAUUAUCUAUAUUAAUAUAAUAAGCAAAUACAAAAAUUGAAGAGAUGAUCAAGUAGUGGUAGGGUCCUGUGGAGAUAAUGGCUCUAUGGUGGCGUAGUCUUCUCAACUGGAGCUCUCAGCUGGAGUUAUGGGUUGUGAUGGUUUAGGGAGGUCAAAAAUGGAGUGAGAGGCUUCAGGUGUGUGAUCCCAGGGUGCACGGGGUUCUCCUCUAGUCUUGGCCAUGGCUGAAAUGGAGAGAGAUGGUUGUUCAUGAUUUCCAAAGAGUUCUCAAAUGGUGCACGGGGGUGUUAUCUCCUCUAAUGCAUGUUCCUGAGGCUUCAAAUAGAGAGGGAGAGGCGGAAUUUGGAUGGUCACACGUUUAAAAACUCUUUCGGAAGUCGAAAAUGGCUUUUAGGAAUGAAAAACAGAGUCUUGGGUGUUUAAAAAUAAGUUUAAAAGACAGUUGGUCAUUUUCGCACUUUAAAAAAAAAAAUUUCGCACCUUGGAAAGGAUUUUUUGCACUUUGGAUUUCAAGGUGCGAAAUUUUCACACCAUGUUUUGAUUUUCGCACUCGAAUUCGCACCGUGCGAAAUUUUUCGCACCUUGUUUCGCACCGUGCGAAACAGUUUCGCUACUUGAGGUGAUGGCACUCGUGUGGCAGCAGGUGGUUUCGCACUGUGCGAAAUUUUUCGCACCAGGAACAGUAGCCAUGCGAAUUUGGAUUUUGGAUUUUCGCAACUUGGAUGGAUUUUCGCAAGUUGAUUUGCCUUUUCAGAAGUUGUUUCACAAGUUCCCCCACUUUUGGAAGUUGUUUCGCUGAAAAAAAAAAUUUUGCAAGUUGUUUCGCACAGUGCGAAAAUUGGUUUGGGCUGUGCGAAAUGCCACUCGUGUGCCAGGAGGGUGUUUCGCACCUUGAUUCGCACAGUGCGAAACUUUCGCACCUUGAUUCGCACUGUGCGAAAUUUUCUUUCAACUCAUCGCAGUUUUAUUGCAAUGACCAUAACUUUUUUGUUUCAACUCUGAUUUAGACAUCGUUUGAAGCGUUGGACUCCUGACUUCCCGAGCUUCAAAACAGUAUAUAGUAUGUAUAAAAUGGACUCAAGUAAGUGCUCCAAAUAUGUCCCAAAGUGGCAAUAGAACCAAUGGCCAGAAUUCUCUCUUCUCUUCCUUUUCUUUCAUCAUUUUUUUUUUGACAGUACACCCAACUGUUUUGCAGUCCCUCCUGCAAUGAUCAUCCAAAAACUUAUGUUAAAUCAAAACUAAUUAAAAUUAAAGCAUUGAAAUCAAAAUUAAAACAAGUAAUAAAGCAAAAAGAUAUGGACUAGCUAGUAUUUAGAAAGACUAAGUCCAUCAAAAAAAUGUUGUCCUGUUUCAGCUUGCCCGGAUCCCAUAUGAAGUUAGCAUCCUUCAUUAGAGAUUUGCAUUGUAUGAUGGCAAUGGAAACAAUUCCCUUUCUCUUUCCUUUUAUUUCCUCCCUCUUCUUUUUCUCUAUUUCAUGCUCUUAUUUGGAUGUGGCCAAAUCAAACUCUUUACCACUCCUUAGAGUGAUCACGGCUUUAACGUCUCUCACUUGUGAAGAUUCUUGAUUCAUGCCCAAUUGGUGUCUCAGCUGAUUCAUGUCCAGCUGGUGCUCCUUGGAUGAGGGAGUAAUCAACAAAAUUUAUAACCUAUUACACCAUAUACUAGGGUAGCAAAGAAAAAGCUAUUAUAGUAUAGCGGCUCUAGGAUCGUUCACUGGGAAGGAUUAGCAAAUUAUCAAUGAUACCAAUUCAAAGUGAAUUGGUCUUGUUUCAUUUCAAGGUUAGCUUAAGAAAUAAAACACAAACUUUAAUUGGUAAAGAUUUAGAUUUAAACUAACUACAAAACAAGUAAUGGGAAUAACUUAGGAAGAAAAACAUUCCUUGGAGGGUCAGGUUCACUGGGGUGGUUCAUCAUGCAAAAGACCUAGCUCCGGUCAGAUGGUUCAUUUCCUCGCGUUAGAGAUUCAACAUAUAAUCAAUUAUCUAACCGAUGUUGUACAGAUACAUCCUUUAAUUAGAUUUCAACUUUAAUUCUCUCACUGAUGCAACUUGCAAUGGUUCAAGCCUCUCACUAAGCCUUAACCAUUCAAGGUGAUCUUUAACCUUGGAAUUCCCUUCUCAAGCUCGCAAGAGAUAACUAAUAGAUGUCUCCUUGGAGUCCAAAAGCUUACCAAGUGUUGGCAAUUCCAAAAAAUCCUACCUUAAAGUCACCUCCCAGAGGCUCGCAAGGGGUAAACUAGUGCAUCUCCUUGGUUGGAGAUCACUUGCCUUACCAAGUGUUGGCCCAGGUGACUCUAAGGUGUUUUAAGUUAACUAAAAACAUAGAAAUCACUAAAGGAUUUCACUUCCUCUUCAUUGAUGGAUGAAACCACAAAGCUUUGCAUUCUUGCACUUGGAACCUUCCCCGGCAACCUUAGCUUCAAGGAACUAAAGGUUUUAGUUACUCAUUCUCUGGGGAAAAUUCCUCAGAGAGUGCAUAACUUAGUAAGAAAAUAAAAAUACAAAGUGAGAAGGUAAGGCAAAACAAAGGGCUUGAACUUUACUUGCUUCCAAACUUUUACAAAAAGGUUCCUUCUUUGAGAACAGGCUCUCUAGAGGUAUAUAUGAACAUAAUACAAAACUAAUUAUUAUAUAGAUAUUUUCUCUUUUUACUAACUUAAAAGCUAAGGAAUCUUGUAAUUGGUGGCUUACAAGGAGUAUUUUGGGAUUUAGACAACAAAAAUCUGAUGGAAAAUAUCUCCCAAUGUCGGUAGCAAAUAUCGGGAAGCACUACGGACCAUUUCGCAAGCGAAAAUGAUGUCUGCGAGAUUUCGCAAACACACAAAAGGGCUGCGAAAUCACUUCGCAGCAAAAGGUUAUUCUCGCAGGGCUACGAAGUUGGCUUCCACCUUGAGGUUCUCAGCUUCCCACUUGCGGCAUAUAUCGGGCAACUUCAGGAGGAAAUACACCACACUGUACAAAAAGGCUGUGAAAUCACUUCGCAACAAAAGGGUGAUUUCGCAACACUUUGCAAAAUGCUUCCUUCAGCUUGGAGUAAUUGAUUUGCAAUGGCUGUAACUUCUUCGUUUCAACUCCGAAUUGUGCACCGUUUGAAGCAUUGGAUUGUUGACUUCCUGUGCUUUGAAAUGGUAUAUAGCAUGCAUCAAUUGGACUUCAGAAAGUGCUCCAAAAGUGGCUGCCACAACUAUCAUCAAGAAUAUACUUCAUGGCAAAUUCUCUUUACUUCUUCUCCUUGCAUUCCGGAUUUACUCUUGGCAAAUGACUUCCAAGCUUUGCCCAAGAUUCCUCAUAACUCUCCUCAAUCUUGGAUUGCUUUGGUGAUCAAAUUACUAACAAAAACACCAAAACUUACACAAAGUGAUUAAAAUUGCUUUCAAGGGUCCUUAACAUGCCAAUUGAGUUAAAAGGCCAAAAAUACUACUCAAAAGUGUUUAAAAGGGUUUAAUACAAGCUACCAAAGAGCACUUUUUGAAUAGUAAUCAAUUCUCUCUUAUGAGCCUUGAGAUUAGUGAGCCUUGAGAUUGAGUAUUGGAGAUUAUCUAUCUUUUGAGAUAGAUCAUUUUGUAUUUCAUCCAUCCUUUUAUUCAAUGAACUCUCUACACUGUCAAUUCUUUGACUGAGCUGAACAUUGAUGGAUUUCUGAGCUCCAACAAAGUCUCCCCCGACCUUGCUAAGAUUCACUAUAGCUUGUUCAAGGUUCGAGGCUUGCUGAGGUGCUUGAGCAGGUUGCUGGUAUUGAGGUGGUUGUGGUUUCCAAGAGAAAUUUGGAUGGCCCCUCCAAUUGGAAUUGUAGGUGUUGUAAUCACCAAACAUUUCCC
rnacentral:lncRNA from 1 species